UAUAAUAAACCUUUGAAAACAGAGUACAGUGUCGGCGGAUUCCUUUAUCAUCACAAGCAUGGACCAGCAAAAGUGUUUCUUUUAGGCACUACAUAAUGGCGACGAGGAAUGGGGCGUCUUGCAUCUUCUCUCAGCGUUCCAUUCAUGGGCUACGAAGUGACUCCCGCUCAAGAAGCAUGCAAAAAAGAGACGAGAAGGAGGAGACAGAGAGAGAGAGAGAAAGAGGAGGGGCUGACAUCAACUGACACCAGUGACGGCAACCCUGUCCAAAUCAAGGC